rnacentral:rRNA from 1 species
GAUGAACGCUGGCGGCGUGCCUAAUACAUGCCAGUCGAGCGAACAGACGAGGAGCUUGCUCCUCUGACGUUAGCGGCGGACGGGUGAGUAACACGUGGAUAACCUACCUAUAAGACUGGGAUAACUUCGAGAAACCGGAGCUAAUACCGGAUAAUAUAUUGAACCGCAUGGUUCAAUAGUGAAAGACGGUUUUGCUGUCACUUAUAGAUGGAUCCGCGCCGCAUUAGCUAGUUGGUAAGGUAACGGCUUACCAAGGCAACGAUGCGUAGCCGACCUGAGAGGGUGAUCGGCCACACUGGAACUGAGACACGGUCCAGACUCCUACGGGAGGCAGCAGUAGGGAAUCUUCCGCAAUGGGCGAAAGCCUGACGGAGCAACGCCGCGUGAGUGAUGAAGGUCUUCGGAUCGUAAAACUCUGUUAUUAGGGAAGAACAAAUGUGUAAGUAACUAUGCACGUCUUGACGGUACCUAAUCAGAAAGCCACGGCUAACUACGUG